rnacentral:rRNA from 1 species
UAGUUGGUGAGGUAAAGGCCCACCAAGGCAUAGAUCGGUAGCCGGCCUGAGAGGGCACACGGCCACACUGGCACUGAAACACGGGCCAGACUCCUACGGGAGGCAGCAGUGGGGAAUCUUGCACAAUGGGGGAAACCCUGAUGCAGCGACGCCGCGUGAGCGAUGAAGCCCUUCGGGGUGUAAAGCUCUUUCGUCAGGGAAGAUAGUGACGGUACCUGGAGAAGCAGCUGCGGCUAACUACGUGCCAGCAGCCGCGGUAAUACGUAGGCAGCAAGCGUUGUUCGGAGUUACUGGGCGUAAAGGGUGUGUAGGCGGUUCUUUAAGUUUGGUGUGAAAUCUCCCGGCUUAACCGGGAGGGUGCGCCGAAUACUGAAGGACUAGAGUACGGGAGAGGAAAGUGGAAUUCCUGGUGUAGCGGUGAAAUGCGUAGAUAUCAGGAGGAACACCGGUGGUGUAGACGGCUUUCUGGACCGUAACUGACGCUGAGACACGAAAGCGUGGGUAGCAAACAGGAUUAGAUACCCUGGUAGUCCACGCCCUAAACGAUGCAUAUUUGGUGUGGGCAGUUCAUUCUGUCCGUGCCGGAGCUAACGCGUUAAAUAUGCCGCCUGGGGAGUACAGUCGCAAGGCUGAAACUCAAAGGAAUUGACG